AGGUGCAACAAAUCCAACAUGUCUGAAGUUGCAGUUCAAUGAAUAAAUCCAGUAUAAAAAAAUAAAUAAAAGAAAAUAAGGUCAAAAUCUCAAUGAAUAAGAUGUAUCAGGGUGAAAAUUUGAGAAAGGUCAAUUUCCAUAUAUACAGUUGGGAGCACAAAUUAUACAAGAAAGCAUGGAUCAUGAAAUAUCCUGCAUCUGAAUAUAAGAAUAUCCAAAAGCAGCCAGCACAAAAAUGAAGGAUGAGCAUGCCUUUAAAAAAUGAGAAAAUAAAAGAAAGAUGAGACAGGCCAGCUAAGUACAAUGACCAGAUCAAGAUUUUUAUUAGCAUCUAUUGUAAAAGUUAUGUUUGAGGCUAUCAUAUCAACGAACCAGUUAGCUAGAGAUCAUUAGUAAAAAAAUGUUGAUAUAUUUAAUUGGACCUUUUAAGUACCACAAAGUAUAAGCAAUAAAUUCAAUAUGAACUUUUUUCUUGUUUAUUCUAUAUAUUUACUUGUGAUAAUCCCAUCUUCUGUGCACUUCUUAACAUACUGCUUAAUCAUGAUAAAAAGCAAGUGUUUCUAUAUUUCAGACUGAAGCAAAUAAAAACAAUGUUUCAUGUUUCUGCUGGUAUGAAAACAACAGAGAGCCUUCACACUUCAAGGC